rnacentral:rRNA from 1 species
UACGAAGGGGGCUAGCGUUGCUCGGAAUUACUGGGCGUAAAGGGCGCGUAGGCGGCACUGUUAGUCAGGCGUGAAAGUCCUGGGCUCAACCUGGGAACUGCGCUUGAUACGGCAGAGCUAGAGGAUGGAAGAGGCUCGCGGAAUUCCCAGUGUAGAGGUGAAAUUCGUAGAUAUUCGCAAGAACACCAGUGGCGAAGGCGGCUCACUGGCCCGAUACUGACGCUGAGGCACGAAAGCGUGGGGAGCAAACAGG